rnacentral:tRNA from 1 species
GGGGGUAUAGCUCAGCUGGUAGAGCAUCUGCUUUGCAAGCAGGGGGUCAGCGGUUCGAGUCCGCUUAUCUCCACCA